GCCGGAGUGGCAGAGUAGUUAUGCGACCGCCUGCAGAGCGGUUUACCAGGGUGCAAAUCCCUGCUCCGGCU
rnacentral:tRNA from 4 species